rnacentral:misc_RNA from 1 species
AACUUUAGCGGCAAAUUGAAACGUAUAGUCGAGUUCGUCUGCUCUCUGCUGUCACAUUAUUCACAACUUCAAUUUGUCAUCAGCACCCAUAACAUGCUUUCACUUGUGCCUAACAAAAUUGCGUCUUUAGUUUCGUACAAAUUGCACACUCGAUUCCUAUCUUUUACCUCUUAUAAUAAUUAUAAUACGCCCAUUCCGUUUUCGAAGGCCAAAGAGGGGAAUUUCAUACAAGAUGCUCCACAUCUGGAGAACUCUUUCGAGGGUGACGCACUUUUGCAAAGAAAUCUACAACGAAUUUUGCCAAUUGAAGCUUACAGCAAUGUCAAGGAUGAGCUCUCAACCUUUGGUGCUCGUGUAGCUACAGACAUCUACAAGCUGGGCAGAGAGUGUGAACUAAGCCCACCUUAUUUGAAGCUUCAAGAUGCUUGGGCCAAUCCUCAAAACAAAGUUGUGACUUGUGAAUCGUGGAAAGAACUGAAGAGGAUAUCUGCUAGAGAGGGACUGAUUGCUCUGGCUUAUGAGAGGGAUCCAAAACACCAAGGAUUUAGUCGCCUCAUCCAGAUGUCCAAAAACUACCUAUUUGCCCCUUCAUCUGGAUUGUAUAGCUGUCCAUUAGCCAUGACAGAUGGAGCUGCAAAAACAUUGGAGGUUAGUGGGUUAAAAGACCAUGGUGAAUCCUUUAAAAAUUUGACAUCACGAGACCCAGAGAAGUUUUGGACAUCUGGUCAAUGGAUGACAGAGAAAAGAGGUGGAUCUGACGUUGCGGGAGGCACUGAAACUCUUGCCAUUCAGGAUCCAAACAAGGAAAAUAUGUACAAGCUUUAUGGCUACAAGUUCUUUAGUUCUGCAACGGAUGCCGAUAUCGCCUUGACUUUAGCUCGAGUGGUAGAUCCUGCUACUGGCAAAAUUACUUUGGGUACCAAAGGAUUGUCGUUGUUUCUUGUCUACGUGGACCAGCCAAGCAAUUUGCAUCUUAUGCGCUUGAAACAGAAAUUGGGAACGAAACAAUUACCCACCGGUGAGCUUUUGCUGGAUGGUAUGGCUGCGGAGUUGAUAAGUCCACCUGGUCGAGGCGUUCCGUCCAUUUCUCAAAUGCUCAACAUCACUCGACUGCACAACGCUUCUGGUUCCGUUUCCGCAAUGCGCAGGAUUAUCAGUUUAGCUCGAGAUUACAGCAAUAGGCGAGUGGCCUUCGGGAAACUUAUUCGCAAUCACCCACUGCACGUCCGCACCCUUGCCGACAUGGAACUGGAAUGCCGAGCUGGAUUUUCCUUAUUUAUGGAAGCCGGUCGUUUACUCAGUUUGGAAGAAAAUGGAACGCCCACCAUCGAACAGCAACAAUUACUCCGCCUGCUCCUCCCAUUGUUGAAACUGUACACGGGAAAGCAGUGCAUGAAAGUCGUGUCGGAAGGGCUGGAAUCCUUUGGAGGACAAGGAUACAUGGAAGAUACUGGUAUCCCCGUGAUUUUACGUGAUGCCCAGGUAACACCAAUCUGGGAAGGAACUACAAACAUUUUGAGUUUGGACGUACUCAGAGCAUUGGCCAAAAGUCAAGGCCAAGUGUUGGUUGCGUUUCACCAGAGAAUUCAAGGUGUUCUCGACUCGACGACCAACCCGUCCUUAGCCGAGUGUUGCGCUCAAUUGGAGAAAUACCGUUCCCAAUUGAUUUCGUUCGCCCAGAAGAAUCCCGAUCAGUUGGAAUACGUCGCCCGUGAUUUCGCUUUCGGCCUAGCUCGUACUCUAGCCGGUGCCUUGCUCCUGGAACACGCUUCAUGGGGCAGAGCAGUAGACAGCGAUCGUGCUGCAGCCGAACGUUGGCUAGGACAACGAGAUCUCCUUGCCCAAUCUCUGGUUUCAGGACAGACUGCAAGCCAUUCAUCGCUAUCCGUCCAGCAACUCGACGAAGCUUUGGUCUUUGAUGGAUACGAUCAAAAGAACCUACUCUCGCCCCUCUUUUGAACUUUUCCCCAUUUCAGUCUUUCCCUUCUCAUUAAAACGAAACUCAGGAUAGAAUAUGGUCUGAAACUUAUAAUGCAAUGUUUUAUUUUUAUAGGAAAGAGAAUUUGUUGUGACAGAAAAGGGCAGCAUUCGGCACUACAACUUAUACAGAGCCAGAGCUGGAUGUGUACUACCUGAUAAAUAAGAAAAAAGAUUCGCACUGCCAGUCUCACAGAAGAUUCUUGAAUUUCGUGGACAACACUCAAUAACCGUGCUGCUCUGCAUAAUAGCCGGUUCUCCCAAGUUAUCCGCAGUUUAUUUUGUAAAACUUCCAGUAUUUAGAUUGAAUUUUGAAAACAACGGCACAAAAAUGGAGACAAGUGUUGUGGAGCAAUCCAGCUUAGACCCAAACCCGCUACAAACUGCUGCCAAACGAAUCGUGGUUUAUUCCAUGAUUUGUGGACUUUUAGGAAUUAUUUUUAAUUUUAUUUGGAUGUUGACGACUGCUCCAUCAACAACUGAACAGAGUAUCUCGAUCAUUGGGAUAGUUACAGCGUUUGUCUUCAUCGGUGUCACCAUCCUUCUUUAUACCGCUGCCUGUCAGGAUAACAAUCCGAUUCUGCUUUUACCAUGGCUCAUAUACCAGGCCCUUUUGUUACCUUUAUUAACAGCCUGCUGGUUAAUUCUGAUUGAGAUGGCAAUUGACCGCCAUGAUGUUAGAAUAUUUGACCUUAUAAUUAUUCUUUUAAGAAUACUGGUCAACGCCUACUGCACAUGGAUCAUUUUAAUCUACUAUCGUGCAUUGAAAGAAAAGAGGAAUUCCAAGAACAACGCACAGCUGGAGAGCCCCGACCCGUGAAAUGAUAAUCUUGUGGUAGAUAUUUGAAUUAUCCUAUAAAACAAAAGACGCGCUCAAACAUUUAUUUAUUCGCCAAACACAUGGAGAAAUGGUUAUGUUUUAAUAAAAU